UACAGAGGGGGCGAGCGUUGUUCGGAUUUACUGGGCGUAAAGGGCGCGUAGGCGGCAAUUCAAGUCAUCUGUGAAAUCUCCGGGCUUAACUCGGAAUGGUCAGGUGAUACUGCUUUGCUAGAGUGCAGAAGGGGCAAUCGGAAUUCUUGGUGUAGCGGUGAAAUGCGUAGAUAUCAAGAGGAACACCUGAGGUGAAGACGGGUUGCUGGGCUGACACUGACGCUGAGGCGCGAAAGCUAGGGGAGCAAACGGG
rnacentral:rRNA from 1 species